rnacentral:lncRNA from 1 species
UAUGGAUUUAUACCUACUAGUCGUAGGAAAUUCGAUUUUCAAAAAUUUAAGGUAUUUUCUAAACGCAUGAUCACUUAGACUGUUUUAUUAAAGCUUCCGCAAUGAGGGAUGUUUCAAAACAAAUGUUUUAAAUGAAUAAAGAUGACUUCCUAAGUUCUAACAAAGCCUUACUAAAGAUAAUAACAUGGAAUGUUAUCAUCGUAACAACAAUGUUUCAAAAACACUAUUGUGUGACAUUGCCAGAUAUGGCCAUAACAUCUAGG